UGGAUAGGUCAUCAGUUGGGAUGAGCGAAUCGACUUCGGAUGCUUCAUCCGAAGUAGAUUCGUAUAAAACUUUGUUGCAAUACUGUACGGAGCGGGAGCUCCGUACAGUAUUAGAAUGUAUUGGCUCUGUUGAGCCGA